rnacentral:rRNA from 1 species
UACAGAGGGUGCAAGCGUUAAUCGGAAUUACUGGGCGUAAAGGGUGCGUAGGUUGUUGAUUAAGUUGUCUGUGAAAUACCUGGGCUUAACCUGGGGAGGUCAGAUGAGACUGGUUGACUAGAGUACAGGAGAGGGCAGUGGAAUUUCCGGUGUAGCGGUGAAAUGCGUAGAGAUCGGAAGGAACACCAGUGGCGAAGGCGGCUGCCUGGCCUGAUACUGACACUGAGGCACGAAAGCGUGGGGAGCAAACAGG